UAGGGAAUCUUCGGCAAUGGGGGGAACCCUGACCGAGCAACGCCGCGUGAGUGAAGAAGGUUUUCGGUUCGUAAAACUCUGUUGUUAAGGAAGAACGAGUGUGAGAAUGGAAAGUUCAUACUGUGACGGUACUUAACCAGAAAGGGACGGCUAACUACGUGCCAGCAGCCGCGGUAAUACGUAGGUCCCGAGCGUUGUCCGGAUUUAUUGGGCGUAAAGCGAGCGCAGGCGGUUAGAUAAGUCUGAAGUUAAAGGCAGUGGCUCAACCAUUGUAGGCUUUGGAAACUGUUUAACUUGAGUGCAGAAGGGGAGAGUGGAAUUCCAUGUGUAGCGGUGAAAUGCGUAGAUAUAUGGAGGAACACCGGUGGCGAAAGCGGCUCUCUGGUCUGUAACUGACGCUGAGGCUCGAAAGCGUGGGGAGCGAACAGG
rnacentral:rRNA from 1 species